AAUGAACGUUGGCGGCAUGGAUUAGGCAUGCAAGUCGAGCGAGAAGAGUUUUGAAGCUUGCUUUAGAACUCGGACAGCGGCGAAAGGGAGAGUAACGCGUAGUUAUGUGCCCUAGGGUCCGGAAUAGCCACGGGAAACUGUGGGUAAUGCCGGAUAAUAUCCCCGGAUCAAAGGUGUGAUUCUGCCCUAGGAGCAGACUGCGUCCUACUAGCUGGUUGGUGGGGUAAUGGCCUACCAAGGCAACGAUGGGUAGCGGGUGUGAGAGCAUUACCCGUCUCACUGGGACUGAGACACGGCCCAGACACCUACGGGUGGCGGCAGUCGAGAAUCUUGGGCAAUGGGCGAAAGCCUGACCGAGCGAUGCCGCGUGCGGGAUGAAGGCCCUCGGGUUGUAAACCGCUGUCGUAGGGGAGGAAGGUUCCGUGAAGAGCGGAAUUUGACCUAUCCUAGGAGGAAGUACGGGCUAAGUUCGUGCCAGCAGCCGCCGUAA
rnacentral:rRNA from 1 species